GCCGUCGUAGCCUAAUGGUUAGGGCGUCGCUUUCCUACAACGGAUAGCAAAGCAGGCGAAGGUUGUGGGUUCGACUCCCACCGUCGGUA